UACGGGAGGCAGCAGUGGGGAAUAUUGCACAAUGGGCGAAAGCCUGAUGCAGCGACGCCGCGUGAGUGAUGAAGUAUUUCGGUAUGUAAAGCUCUAUCAGCAGGGAAGAUAAUGACGGUACCUGACUAAGAAGCACCGGCUAAAUACGUGCCAGCAGCCGCGGUAAU
rnacentral:rRNA from 1 species